ensembl:lncRNA
GUUUGUUUAUAUCUUACCUAAUUUUAGUUGGGGGGACAGAAUUUUUUGUAGGGCGUUUCGCCAAGUCUCUUGAAUCAUACAGUGGUGUAUCACUUUAGUGAAUGUGAGGCAAGAACAGUUUACUUAAAAGGUGCACUCAGAUAUAUCUUAUCUUUUCCAGUCAUCGAGAGAUUUUGCCUGCCACCUGAUGCAAAAGUAGUGUACAAAGAUGCAACAGGGACAGAAGUUGAUGAAGUGAUUUUCAGUGAUCUUAUCAGCCAAGGCACUGUGGUCCUAACAGUUUUCUCAAGUGAUGAAUUUUCUGAUUACUCCUUGUCUUCUGCAUCUGAUUGUUCUGACUCAAGCUUCAGCUCAAAUGCAAGUACAUCAACUAUACUUCUAGAUGAGGGUCCCAGGAAGAAAACAAGAGUUGAGGGUACUGUUGAUGCAGCAUCUGCUAAAAAGUUAAUUGAAGGUGUACUUGGAACCAAUUCAGGUGGUGAAGAGGUUCUCCAGGAAUAUCACACAACACAAACUCUGACAGAUGCUACCAGAAGAAAAAUGGUCAAUAUAAUAGUGGCUCACAUGAUUGAUUGCCAUGGGCACCUCCCCACCAAAGCUGUUAGAGAACAGUACGCGCUAGGGGUAGUGACAUUGUUCCCAUCCCUGAAAGACCCAUACUCCAAGAAAGGCUAUGAACACUUCUAUGAUGCUGCAAGCAGCACUGGAUACAUUUCUUGGCGUUUGAAAACGAUACAGAGAAAGACUAGAAGAGGAUCUGCACCACCAAGUAGCUCCACUGGCUUUACUCAAGGAGGGGGCCCAAAUUACCAAAGGCCCAUUAAUGUCGACAUGCAGCUUGAUGGAGAUGCUUGCCAGGAGGCCAUCUCUUUGCUGAAACAUACAUCCGACACUUCCUUGAUUUUCCAGAAGAUGAGAGAGACCUUUCAGCAUCGUCAGAAGGUCAUCAAUGAUCCUGACAAAAGUCUUGAUAUCCUGUCUAUCUUCCCAAGAUUCUUGGAUACAAGAGGAUUGGUGAAUCAAGACUUCACUCUCCUGUUUGAUGAUGAGAUAUCUACCAGGCUGCUUCAGAAAUGGGAUCCAAUCUUUAGGUAUCAAAUCAUCAAAGAGGCCAAGCAGCUCACCUCAACAGUAGAGUUGCGUCAAUUGGUGCAGUCAGCAGAGAGUCCACCAGGAAGUGAUCUUGAUGAGGCAGCAACCUUUGACCAAGACAUGGCCUCCCUGUUGUUACUGUUACAUCUACUUCCGCCACCCCCAGGAGGACCAAAGUAUCAAAAAAUCAGCGCCUCUGAUGCUGUUGAGAGACUUGUAGUCUUUCAUAAGUCUUGCUGCAGUUUGGAAGAGCAUCUCCAGAAUCAGCAGAGUCAGCAGCCAUACCUCCUGGCUGUUGGGCGCCAGAAGAGGAAGGUCGACAGCUUCUAUGUUGCCAUAGACAAGCGUCUCAUCCCCUGCCAGGCCAGCCGCUCCCUUGGGGCAUUUGAUGAGCUUUUUAAAGCUCAUUUUGUGUUCAAUGUGUCUUAUGAUGCUGCACUUGUGAAUUUCUACACAUUUCUGCAGACAACAGUAUACAAUAUUGAUAUGGGGAAAAUGAAGGAGUCCCCAAGAGUGCGUGACUUGAGAGCCAAAAUCCUUAACCAGGAAAUUCUUCUCACAACCUAAGUAAAAAUCAUUAAAAUGCUGACAUGUUUUUUGUGUAAGAGAGCUUAUCUCAGCAGUCAGCAGCUGAUUUCACAUUUAAGAGGUGAACAUGGUUAUUAUCCUGGACCUAAGUUUAAGUUGUGUUGUUGGCAGCCAGGCUGCAGGCUUCAGUUCCAAACUUAUGCAGGCUUUAGGAAGCACCUCAGUUUUCACAGCAAUGUUGACCACAAUGAUCGAACUUCAGCCAUUGCUUCUUUUUCUAAUGACACAGUUUCACCUGCUUUGGAGGACCAGUUUAAUUCCUCUUAUCUUCCUCACAGUUCUCCCAGUGUUCUUCCAGAGUCUAGUUCUUCCAGUGUUCCAGUGAGCAUUGAUUCAGUACUUACAAGGGAUUCAUCCAAAGAAAUCUGUGCAUCCAUUGUGGCCAAACUGCAGGGUAGUGGCCUUUCUAACAGUUUAGUAUCCUCACUUGUAGGCGAUUUGGAGGAAUUAACAAGUGAGCUUCGCUCAGAAGCAAAGCAGGCCAUUCUUUCUGCGUUACCCACAAAGGACUCCAGCAUAUCUUUAAUAAAUGAAUGUUUUGAAAAUUUUGAAAACCCUUUCACCAAUCUGAACACAGAAUGGAAACGAAAUAAAUACUUCAAUCUAAAAUGGGGAGUUGUAGAACCUAGAGAAAUAACACUUGGAGUGAGGUAUGACAUCAGGCGAAAUCAGAAGUUUGGUACUUAUGAUCAAGUACCUGUGAAGGAUACUUUUAUAUAUGUACCUAUUUUGGAGUCUUUGAAGUUCAUGUUUAGAAAUCCAGAGAUUUGUGUUUUCCUGCAGAGAGAGUGUAGCUCAGAGCCUGAUGCUUAUCAUGACUUUUGUGAUGGAAGUUACUUUAAAACUCACCCUUUGUUUUCAGCCAAAAGGCAUGCAUUACAAAUUCAGCUAUACUAUGAUGACUUUGAAACAGCCAAUCCUCUUGGCUCUAAACGCGGAAUUCACAAAAUUGGCUGUAUUUAUUUUGUUAUAAGAAACUUGCCCCCAAAAUUUAAUUCCAUUUUGAUGAACAUUCAUUUAGUGUCACUUUUCCACACACCAGAUCUGCAAAAGUAUGGUUUUGAUGUUAUACUGGAACCACUGAUAAAUGAUGUCAAAAAACUGGAAAGCCAAGGGCUAAGUCUUCCAUUUUCUGAUGAGCAGGUAUAUGGCACAAUAUCACAGAUCACUGGAGAUAACCUAGGGAUGCACUCAAUUCUUGGUUUUAAUGAGUCGUUCAGUAGCCGUCAUUUCUGUCGCCUUUGUUUGAUUGAGAAGAAUGAUUGUCAAAUGGUGUACAGUGAGGAUGAUCCUAAAAUUAUUCUUCGUGGGAAAGAUUUGUUUGACAUACAUUGCCAGUCUCUUCGGGAAGAUCCUAAAUUGAAGUCACUGUAUGGGUUGAAAAGAAAUUCUGCACUCAAUUCAUUGCAGUAUUACCAUAUUUGCAAUAACUACUCAUUUGAUAUAAUGCAUGACCUUCUUGAAGGUGUGGCUCAGUAUGAGGUCAAAUUGCUUUUUGAGUAUCUUACGCAACACUUCAUAUCAGAACAGAACUUGCUUUCUAGGAUUUAUGGUUUUGACUAUGGAUUUUUAGAAAGAAAAAACCGGCCCACUAAAAUCAUAUUGGACAGUGCUGGCAAUAGCAUUGGUUUGAACUCUAUCCAGACAUUCUGUCUUGUGAAAAACAUCCCACUUUUGUUUGGUGACAUUAUUCCUGCAGGGAACAGACACUGGAAUUUGUUAUUGUUGUUACUUCAAAUAAUGAACAUUGUUUUUUCACCUUGUCUCACUCUGGGAAUGACUAUAUAUUUGAAGAAUUUGAUUAUUGACCACCACAAACUAUUUAAGCACACGUAUCCACACAGAAACUUGAUUCCUAAGCAUCAUUUUAUGAUUCAUUACCCAUCCUGUAUUCGAAAAAUUGGCCCUUUACUGUAUAUGUGGAGUAUGAGGUUUGAAGCUAAGCACAAGUUGUUCAAAGAUUAUUUCAAAAAUUUCAAAAACCUCACCAAAUCGCUUGCUAAACGGCAUCAGAUGGCCAUUGCUUAUCACUGGGAAACCUUUUCUCUUAAACAGAAGGAGUUUGGGCCAAUUAAAUCAUUUUCUUUAAGAGGUGAAAGUGUGGUCAAUAGUGAAAUGCUAUUAUCAAAAGAUGUUUUCUCAACAAGUUGGGUUAAAAUUGAUGGUGUAGAGUACAAAGCUGGACUCGUUGUUUGCAGUACAAUGGAGGAAGACAUGCCAGUCUUUUGUCAAAUAAUUGAUACACUUAUGGUUGAAAAUGACAUUUUUUUGUUGACACACAAACUCUUUACUGAAAACUUUGAUGAACAUCACCAUGCAUUCAAAGUAGUACAAACUGAAGAACGGUGUGUCAUAAAAAUAACUGAACUCAAAUGUCACAGACCAUUUGAUAUUCAAAACUCAUACAGUGCUGCAGAUGAAAGUUUGUACAUUAUAUCUUCAUUUAUUAUGUUUUGAUUCACUUUCUGGGAAAAAGAAGCAUGAUAAUAAAUGUUUUUGGACAAUGUACAGUUUUCUUGAAAUUAUUCUCAUGAUUGUACUUGUUGUCGUUAAAAAGUUAUGUUAAUCUAUUACAUAAAUAGUUCUUUUAGGGAUUAAAACUACCUUAAUAAAAGAUUAAAGAGUUAAAGUAGUGUUAUUUUUCAAUCUGUGUAGUGUUAAUUUAACCCAGUUUGGUGAGUUAAAAAAUUAACUCAGACAUGGUGUUAAUAAUAAUUUGCUCAGUGUUAAUUUAACCCGGUUUUAAGAGUUAAAAAUUAACUCAGACAUGGUGUUAAUAAUAAUUUGCUCAGUGUUAAUUUAACCCGGUUUUAAGAGUUAAAAAUUAACUCAGACAUGGUGUUAAUAAUAAUUUGCUCAGUGUUAAUUUAACCCAGUUUUAAGAGUUAAAGAAGGAACUCUGACAAAGUGUUAAAUAAUUAACUAUUUUGAAAAUGUUAAUUCAACUCUGUAGAGUGUGGAGCUAUAUAAACCCUGAAAAAAUGUUAAAAUCAACUCUGUGGGAGUUGAUUCAACACUACAGUUUUUGCUGUGUA